AUUGAACGCUGGCGGCAUGCCUUACACAUGCAAGUCGAACGGCAGCACGGGAGCAAUCCUGGUGGCGAGUGGCGAACGGGUGAGUAAUAUAUCGGAACGUGCCCAGUCGUGGGGGAUAACGCAGCGAAAGCUGUGCUAAUACCGCAUACGAUCUACGGAUGAAAGCGGGGGAUCGCAAGACCUCGCGCGAUUGGAGCGGCCGAUAUCAGAUUAGCUAGUUGGGGGGGUAAAGGCCCACCAAGGCGACGAUCUGUAGCUGGUCUGAGAGGACGACCAGCCACACUGGAACUGAGACACGGUCCAGGCUCCUACGGGAGGCAGCAGUGGGGAAUUUUGGACAAUGGGCGCAAGCCUGAUCCAGCAAUGCCGCGUGCAGGAUGAAGGCCUUCGGGUUGUAAACUGCUUUUGUACGGAACGAAACGGCCCUUUCUAAUACAGGGGGCUAAUGACGGUACCGUAAGAAUAAGCACCGGCUAACUACGUGCCAGCCGCCGCCGUAA
rnacentral:rRNA from 1 species